rnacentral:lncRNA from 1 species
UAUGUCAAUUUCAUUUUCAACUCUAGAAUUUCCUCUUGAUUCUUUUUAAUUAUUUCUAUUUCCUUGUUACAUUCAUCUGAUAGGAAAUCUGAAUUCCUUCUCUGUGUCAUCUUGAAUUGCUUUGAGUUUCCUCAAUACAGCUCUUUCAAAUUGUCUGCCUGAAAGGUUGCCUAUUUUUGUUUCUCCGUGAUUGGUCCCUGGUGCCUUAUUCAGUUUGGUGAGGUCAUGUUUUCCUGCGUGGUGUUGAUGCUUAUGGAUAUUCAUCAGUGUCUGAGCAGUGAAGAGUUAGGCAUUUAUUGUAGUCUUCACAGUCUGGGCUUAUUUGUGCCUGUGAUUCUUGGGAAGGCUUUUCAGGUAUUCAAAGGGACUUGAACCCCGAACCCAAUAAAACUGUAGUUCUGCGGACUCGUAAAGGUACCACCUUAGUGGUCUUGGAGAAGAUCCAGAAGAAUUCUCUGCAUUACCAGGCAGAGAUUCUUGUUCUUUUCCCUUGCUUUCUUCCAAACAAAUGGAGUCUCUCUCUCUCUCUCUCCAAGCUAGGCCUCUUGGAACUGGGGGUGGAAGGACACAAGAACCCCUGUGGCCAUCACCACUGGGACUGCACUGGUUCAGACCUGAAGCAGCCCAGCACUGGGUCUCACCUAAGGUCUGCUAGAACUGCUACCUGGCCAUCACCUGAAUUCACUCAAGGGCCUGGGACUCUACAAUCAGCAGGUGGCAAAACCAGCCAGGGUGUUGUCCCUCCCUUCAGGGCAGUGAGUUCCCUGGGAAGGUCCAGAGAUGCUGUCUGGGAGCCAGGGAUUGAUAAACCUUAGAAUUCUAUUCUAAGAUAGAAUAGAAUUCUAUAGAUGUAUCAUUCCACUGCAGGUAAGCUGGCACUCAAACCACAAGACAAAGUCCUUCCCACUCUUCACUCCCCUUUCCUCAGUCAGAGGAACCUCUCCUUGUGGCCACCACUUCCACCAGCCUGCAAGGAGUUCUCCCAGGCCACUGCUGAUGUUCACAAAAACCCCGAGGGCUCUUCAGGCAGCCUGCGAUGAAUGCUAUCAGGCCUGUGACUCAUCCUUCAGGCAGUGGGCUCCCCUUGGCCCAGGGCAGGUCCGCAAAUGCUGACCAACAGCCUAGGCCUGUACUCAGGGACCCCAAGAGCCUGCUUGGUGCUCUACCCCACUGUGGCUGAGCUGGUACCUAAGGGGCAAGACAAAGUCCCCUUUACUCUUCCUCCUGCUUUUCUCAAACAGAAGGCAUCUUUCACUGUAGCCACCACAGCCGGAAAUGUGCUGGAUCACACCUGAAGCCAGCAUGUCUCAGAGCCCAGUGCCCACAGGUGGAUGGGAAGUAGGAUUUAGUGGUGAGUAUUAAGAAGGGGCAGCACAGCAGAAGCCCUCACGAGUGCAGGGCCCACUACUUGUCCAGAGGGCCACAAUGAGGAUGUACUUGACCCCACACCCAUCUCAGAUGAGCCACUUCUCAGCCACCGUGUCUUCAAAUUCAUCUUCACUGAACUUGGUGAAGACCCACUUCUGUGAGAUGUGGAUCUUCUGGCAGCCAGGAAACUUGAACUUGGCCCUGAGCAGGGCCUUAAUCACAUGCUCCUUGUUCUCUGGGUUCAAGGCGGAUGGACAUGAUAAUUGGCCAAUGUGAACCCCAGCCACGGUGCCCCGGGGCUUUCCAAAAGCACCUCACAUACCUUUUUGGAGCCUACACUGGGGUAGUGCAAGGUCAGAGACAUGAACAUCCAUCUGAGGGCCUGUCUCCAAGGUCCCUUAGAGCAGCCAUACAAGAAACAGGCUGCAUACACCACCAAGGAAGCUGCUGUUUGCAGCCAUUGCACACGUCCCCCAUGAGGCGAGGAACUCAGCCAGCUGAGUUGGCUGUAGAUGCCCGCAGCAUAUUACCUGGCUAUGGCUGUUGGUUAUACAGGGCCCAGGGGCUCCUUAGUCAGCAGAUGAUGAAUGCUGCCAGGUCUCUGCUGUGAUGGGACAGCACUGAGUUCAAUGUAAAGUCCCCAAGUUGCUAGCUCUCCCUCUCCCAAAUGCACAGAUCUGUCUGUGCCACAUGGCCACUGCCAGGGGUGGGAGUAGGGGGUGGCCCAAAGAACUCCCUUAGCUGCCCCAGCUAAUGUCUCAGGAGGUUGUGUGCCCCUGACUCCACAGUCCACUGGUUGUGAGCCCAGCUCGGCACUCGGGUUUGCCUGUGAAUUGCAGUCCUGAUGGCCUAAACUGCCCCUCAAGUCUGCUAAGGGCCCCAGAGCACUCCAGCUCGCAGUGGCAAGGCUUGCCAGAACUCAAGCUCCAACUGCUAAGAUGGGCAAUUCCGGCAUUUUGUUGUCUGAAGUUUGUUAUUUCUCUGGAAGAGAUCAUGGGAAUAAUAGCACCUGAGGUCUUCUGUCACAGCAUGGCACGUCAGGGUCUUCUCUACCCAAAUAAUGUUCUUUGUUGGUGUAUAGAACUGCUACUAGCCUGGG